rnacentral:rRNA from 1 species
CUACGGGUCGCUGCAGUGGGGGAUAUUGCACAAUGGGCGAAAGCCUGAUGCAGCAACGCCGCGUGAAGGAAGAAGGUUUUCGGAUUGUAAACUUCUAUCAGCAGGGACGAAAAUGACGGUACCUGACUAAGAAGCCCCGGCUAACUACGUGCCAGCAGCCGCGGUAAUACGUAGGGGGCAAGCGUUACCCGGAAUUACUGGGUGUAAAGGGUACGUAGGCGGUCUGAUAAGUCAGAUGUGAAAGCCCGAGGCUCAACCUCGGGACUGCAUUUGAAACUGUCAGACUAGAGUACAGGAGAGGUAAGCGGAAUUCCUAGUGUAGCGGUGAAAUGCGUAGAUAUUAGGAAGAACACCAGUGGCGAAGGCGGCUUACUGGACUGUAACUGACGCUGAGGUACGAAAGCGUGGGGAGCGAACAGGAUUAGAUACCCCAGUAGUC